GUUUUCAUCGUGUUAUAGUCGAGGGGGACUCUGCUAAUGUUUUUCAAGCUUUACAAGAGCUUUCUCUCUAUUCAUAGUCUGAUUUUGGACGUGCUUCAAUACGCUGUUGAUGUGAAUUGGAUUGAUUUUAAGCAUGUUCCUAGAUGUUGUAAUGCAGAGGCUCGUGGAUUAGCUAGGAAAACUCUUACUGAUGUUUCUUUUA
rnacentral:misc_RNA from 1 species